UAAUAUUCUCGCAGCAGUGAUAUAAACUCAAAUGGAUUUACUUUACCGUUAACUGGCAGACGUUUGGGGCCUGACAGAUUCACACAGCCAUUGGGACAGGGAACGCCCAUGAACUUGGUGUGCUUCAUGGUGGCCGUGGCCAGAACGGCUGCACGCGGCCACCGUUUACACAAUAGUUGAGAUGCCCCGUAUUGUCUUCUUGGCCCAGAUAGCCGGCAUUGGUAUGGAGCACCUGUAUGACACUCGCAUCAUCGUGGGACAAGCGAAAUCGAUUGCUCUUCUUGCGCUCGAUUAGUGGACGCGCUGGAUCCAGGCCUAUGAUGCGAUACUGUUUCUUGGUCAAGUGAUUGCUAAUCAUGCCACAGAUGUGGGCGCCCAGCGAAUGGCCCACACAGGUGAUCUUCUCACGCGAGGCACCAUAGUGUGUGAGAAAUGAGUACACCUGAGCCGUGCACUGUGCCGUCAGGCGCGUAUUGAUUAGCGAGUGCAGGUAGCAGGGGUAGCGGGUCAGUGGUCGCCAAUCGACAGUUAUCACAUUAAAUUCGCGCGACAAAUAUGCUAAAGAUAAACAAACGAUAGUUAACCCCGCCAGGUCUUGCCUGGCGCGUCCAAUUCAUACUCACUAACCAUCCCUCAGAAACUGUAGAUGCAUGUCAAUGGCGGUCCCAUUAAAUCCAUGCACUAUGAAUACCGUCUCGCGCUGCUUGCUGAAACCGCCCUUGUACAGGGUCAACGGAUUGUGUAUGUUCAGUGGCAGCCCAGAGCGUGGCCCAUUGCUGCGGAAAGAAAAAGCGAAACCAGAUAAAAAUUAUGUAAACAUGCAAAUAUACAUAUACAUAUGUAUGUGCCUUGGAAAUUAGCAGCUAAGCAAAACAAUGAUAUUGCGCCAUUUAUGCAUCAGUGACUAGACGGAUAGCAAUUGGGUUUGAUAUGAUACACUAAUGAAAUAUAAUACAUUCAAAUGAAUAUGGACGCAUAACAAACACAUCAAAACAUUCAUUCAUUUCCCACAAAUAAUGCAACAAUAAAACAAUAACAUUACCGUGAAUUUGAACAAUUUGUAAGUUGAGACUCUUGAAAUGUGUAACCGAUUUUGUGGCUCAAUACGUUUAUGUAAAGCUGAUAAAAAGGCUUAAUUGUAAGAAUUUAAUAUAACUUAUUAAUUUCGUUUAAGAACUUUUUCAAAAUCUGUAUCCUUUCUCUCUACACUCCUUAAAUAGCCAAAGUAAAAUACCAUAUAAAUAUCAGCUCACGCUAAAUACAACUGGUCAAUAAACAAAGCAUCAUUUUAAA